rnacentral:rRNA from 1 species
AGUGAACGCUGGCGGCGUGCUUAACACAUGCAAGUCGAACGAGAACGGAAUAUAGCUUGCUAUAUUUGUCAGCUAAGUGGCGCACGGGUGAGUAAUGUAUAGAUAACCUGCCCUUAAGAAAGGAAUAACAGUUGGAAACGACUGCUAAUGCCCUAUAUGCCUUUAAUACAUAAGUAUGCAAGGGAAACGCUUUAGUGCUUAAGGAUGGGUCUGUAUGGUAUCAGCUUGUUGGUGAGGUAAUGGCUCACCAAGGCUAUGACGCCUAACUGGUUUGAGAGGAUGCUCAGUCACACUGGAACUUAGACACGAUCCAGACUCCUGCGGAAGGCAGCAGUGGGGAAUAUUGCACAAUGGACGAAAGUCUGAUGCAGCAACGCCGCGUUGAGGAUGACACAUUUCGAUGCGUAAACUCCUUUUAUAUAGGAAGAUAAUGACGGUACUAUAUGAAUAAGCACCGGCUAACUCCGUGCCAGCCGCCGCCGUAA